rnacentral:rRNA from 1 species
CGGCAGGCCUAACACAUGCAAGUCGAGCGGCAGCGGGUCAUUCGGGAUGCCGGCGAACGGCGGACGGGUGAGUAAUGCCUAGCAUGUCUGCCUGGUAGUGGGGGAUAACUCGGGGAAACUCGAGCUAAUACCGCAUACGUCCUACGGGAGAAAGCGGGGGAUCUUCGGACCUCGCGCUAUCAGAUGAGCCUAGGUCGGAUUAGCUAGUUGGUGGGGUAAUGGCUCACCAAGGCGACGAUCCGUAACUGGUCUGAGAGGAUGAUCAGUCACACUGGAACUGAGACACGGUCCAGACUCCUACGGGAGGCAGCAGUGGGGAAUAUUGGACAAUGGGCGAAAGCCUGAUCCAGCCAUGCCGCGUGUGUGAAGAAGGUCUUCGGAUUGUAAAGCACUUUAAGUUGGGAGGAAGGGCAGUAAGUUAAUACCUUGCUGUUUUGACGUUACCGACAGAAUAAGCACCGGCUAACUUCGUGCCAGCAGCCGCGGUAAUACGAAGGGUGCAAGCGUUAAUCGGAAUUACUGGGCGUAAAGCGCGCGUAGGUGGUUCAGCAAGUUGGAGGUGAAAUCCCCGGGCUCAACCUGGGAACUGCCUCCAAAACUACUGAGCUAGAGUACGGUAGAGGGUGGUGGAAUUUCCUGUGUAGCGGUGAAAUGCGUAGAUAUAGGAAGGAACACCAGUGGCGAAGGCGACCACCUGGACUGAUACUGACACUGAGGUGCGAAAGCGUGGGGAGCAAACAGGAUUAGAGACCCCUGUAGUCCUAGUCGUAAACAAUGCCUACUAGCUGGUCCGGCUUUGUCGGACUGGCGUAAGCUAACGCGUUAAGUAGGCCGCCUGGGAAGUACGGCCGCAAGGCUAAAACUCAAAUGAAUUGACGGG